rnacentral:rRNA from 1 species
AGAUAGCUGGUUCUCCCCGAAAGCUAUUUAGGUAGCGCCUCGUGAAUUCAUCUCCGGGGGUAGAGCACUGUUUCGGCUAGGGGGCCAUCCCGGCUUACCAACCCGAUGCAAACUGCGAAUACCGGAGAAUGUUAUCACGGGAGACACACGGCGGGUGCUAACGUCCGUCGUGAAGAGGGAAACAACCCAGACCGCCAGCUAAGGUCCCAAAGUCAUGGUUAAGUGGGAAACGAUGUGGGAAGGCCCAGACAGCCAGGAUGUUGGCUUAGAAGCAGCCAUCAUUUAAAGAAAGCGUAAUAGCUCACUGGUCGAGUCGGCCUGCGCGGAAGAUGUAACGGGGCUAAACCAUGCACCGAAGCUGCGGCAGCGAACGUAUCACCCAAGACAACUUUACGGAGUUGACGAUUGACGGAGCGAAGCGACGUCAAAGCGUUCAUUAAAGUCGAGUUGGCUUAGGGAUACGUUCGUUGGGUAGGGGAGCGUUCUGUAAGCCUGUGAAGGUGUGUCGUGAGGCAUGCUGGAGGUAUCAGAAGUGCGAAUGCUGACAUAAGUAACGAUAAAGCGGGUGAAAAGCCCGCUCGCCGGAAGACCAAGGGUUCCUGUCCAACGUUAAUCGGGGCAGGGUGAGUCGACCCCUAAGGCGAGGCCGAAAGGCGUAGUCGAUGGGAAACGGGUUAAUAUUCCCGUACUUGGUGUUACUGCGAAGGGGGGACGGAGAAGGCUAUGUUGGCCGGGCGACGGUUGUCCCGGUUUAAGCGUGUAGGUGUGUGUUCCAGGUAAAUCCGGUUCACUUUAACACUGAGGCGUGACGACGAGGCACUACGGUGCUGAAGCAACAAAUGCCCUGCUUCCAGGAAAAGCCUCUAAGCAUCAGGUAACACGAAAUCGUACCCCAAACCGACACAGGUGGUCAGGUAGAGAAUACCAAGGCGCUUGAGAGAACUCGGGUGAAGGAACUAGGCAAAAUGGUGCCGUAACUUCGGGAGAAGGCACGCUGACACGUAGGUGAAGUGAUUUACUCAUGGAGCUGAAGUCAGUCGAAGAUACCAGCUGGCUGCAACUGUUUAUUAAAAACACAGCACUGUGCAAACACGAAAGUGGACGUAUACGGUGUGACGCCUGCCCGGUGCCGGAAGGUUAAUUGAUGGGGUCAGCGUAAGCGAAGCUCCUGAUCGAAGCCCCGGUAAACGGCGGCCGUAACUAUAACGGUCCUAAGGUAGCGAAAUUCCUUGUCGGGUAAGUUCCGACCUGCACGAAUGGCGUAAUGAUGGCCAGGCUGUCUCCACCCGAGACUCAGUGAAAUUGAACUCGCUGUGAAGAUGCAGUGUACCCGCGGCAAGACGGAAAGACCCCGUGAACCUUUACUAUAGCUUGACACUGAACAUUGAGCCUUGAUGUGUAGGAUAGGUGGGAGGCUUUGAAGUGUGGACGCCAGUCUGCAUGGAGCCGACCUUGAAAUACCACCCUUUAAUGUUUGAUGUUCUAACGUGGACCCGUAAUCCGGGUUGCGGACAGUGUCUGGUGGGUAGUUUGACUGGGGCGGUCUCCUCCUAAAGAGUAACGGAGGAGCACGAAGGUUGGCUAAUCCUGGUCGGACAUCAGGAGGUUAGUGCAAUGGCAUAAGCCAGCUUGACUGCGAGCGUGACGGCGCGAGCAGGUGCGAAAGCAGGUCAUAGUGAUCCGGUGGUUCUGAAUGGAAGGGCCAUCGCUCAACGGAUAAAAGGUACUCCGGGGAUAACAGGCUGAUACCGCCCAAGAGUUCAUAUCGACGGCGGUGUUUGGCACCUCGAUGUCGGCUCAUCACAUCCUGGGGCUGAAGUAGGUCCCAAGGGUAUGGCUGUUCGCCAUUUAAAGUGGUACGCGAGCUGGGUUUAGAACGUCGUGAGACAGUUCGGUCCCUAUCUGCCGUGGGCGCUGGAGAACUGAGGGGGGCUGCUCCUAGUACGAGAGGACCGGAGUGGACGCAUCACUGGUGUUCGGGUUGUCAUGCCAAUGGCACUGCCCGGUAGCUAAAUGCGGAAGAGAUAAGUGCUGAAAGCAUCUAA